rnacentral:rRNA from 2 species
UGGGGAAUCUUCCGCAAUGGACGAAAGUCUGACGGAGCAACGCCGCGUGAGUGAAGAAGGCCUACGGGUUGUAAAGCUCUGUUAUUCAGGACGAACGUCGGAUAUGUGAAUAAUGUAUUCGAGUGACGGUACUGAAGGAGGAAGCCACGGCUAACUACGUGCCAGCAGCCGCGGUAAUACGUAGGUGGCAAGCGUUGUCCGGAAUUAUUGGGCGUAAAGCGCGCGUAGGUGGGAUAGUAAGUCUGCUUUAAAAGUGCGGGGCUCAACCCCGUGAUGGGGUGGAAACUGCUAUUCUUGAGUGCAGGAGAGGAAAGCGGAAUUCCCAGUGUAGCGGUGAAAUGCGUAGAUAUUGGGAGGAACACCAGUGGCGAAGGCGGCUUUCUGGACUGUGUCUGACACUGAGGCGCGAAAGCCAGGGGAGCGAACGGG